AACGAACGCUGGCGGCAGGCUUAACACAUGCAAGUCGAGCGCCCCGCAAGGGGAGCGGCAGACGGGUGAGUAACGCGUGGGAAUCUACCCAUCUCUACGGAAUAACGCAUGGAAACGUGUGCUAAUACCGUAUACGUCCUUCGGGAGAAAGAUUAUCGGAGAUGGAUGAGCCCGCGUUGGAUUAGCUAGUUGGUGGGGUAAAGGCCUACCAAGGCGACGAUCCAUAGCUGGUCUGAGAGGAUGAUCAGCCACACUGGGACUGAGACACGGCCCAGACUCCUACGGGAGGCAGCAGUGGGGAAUAUUGGACAAUGGGCGCAAGCCUGAUCCAGCCAUGCCGCGUGAGUGAUGAAGGCCCUAGGGUUGUAAAGCUCUUUCACCGGUGAAGAUAAUGACGGUAACCGGAGAAGAAGCCCCGGCUAACUUCGUGCCAGCCGCCGCUGUAAUAC
rnacentral:rRNA from 1 species